UACGAAGGUGGCAAGCGUUGUUCGGAUUUACUGGGCGUACAGGGAGCGUAGGCGGUUGGGUAAGCCCUCCGUGAAAUCUCCAGGCUUAACCUGGAAAGUGCAGAGGGGACUGCUCGGCUAGAGGAUGGGAGAGGAGCGCGGAAGUCCCGGUGUAGCGGUGAAAUGCGUAGAGAUCGGGAGGAAGGCCGGUGGCGAAGGCGGCGCUCUGGAACAUUUCUGACGCUGAGGCUCGAAAGCGUGGGGAGCAAACAGG
rnacentral:rRNA from 1 species